rnacentral:misc_RNA from 1 species
GCGAGAGGGGGCUUGCUCCCGAUGGCGGUUGGUCAGUUGGUGCAUAUGUCGACUGACACACGGCCAUCGGGAGCAAGCCCCCUCCCAC